rnacentral:tmRNA from 1 species
UCAUUACCAUCACCCAUGCGAAACUUAAAAAUGAACUACACACGUAGAAAGAAAUGUUGCAAGGUCUCUGGACGCGGGUUCAACUCCCGCCGUCUCCAUAC